UACGGAGGGGGCAAGCGUUAUUCGGAAUUAUUGGGCGUAAAGGGCGCGUAGGCGGCUAGAUGUGUCAAAGGUGAAAUCCCUCGGCUCAACUGAGGAACUGCCUUUGAAACUGUCUGGCUUGAGGCCGGGAGAGGGUAGCGGAAUUCCCAGUGUAGCGGUGAAAUGCGUAGAUAUUGGGAGGAACACCAGUGGCGAAGGCGGCUACCUGGACCGGUUCUGACGCUGGGGCGCGAAAGCGUGGGUAGCAAACAGG
rnacentral:rRNA from 1 species